UGGAUAGCAUUUCUUCAAAACAAAGUCAUCCCCAUCUAAUUUCUCUCUCUCUCUCUCUCUCUCUCUCUCUCUCAAACAUUAUUACCCAGUUACAAACACACUCCUUUCAUGACAAUUAGGAAUUCCCUUUCAUCUUUAAAACCAACCCAAAGAAUACCAAAACGAAAUAGCUAACGUUUUCAGCUCAAAUGGGCUUUAAAGCCAUCGCGUGUGAUAUGAGAAAAACGUACGUCGGCAGAUUCACAGGAAUGCCUUCACGAUGUAGUUGCUGUCUGAAACCGAAAGGGUCUCCCAGAAUUCAUCUGCAAAAUCAGAUUCAGUUCAUAUUUCCUUCUUCAGGAUAAAUGGUCGGUGGAAGCUAAACUUAAAUGCUUUAUUUAUAUUAGGGGGAAGAAGCAGAAGCAGGACAAGUCCACAAAAUCAAAAGUGGGCCAAAGUCAACCAAAUUUUACAUUGCUAGAUUUUACAUUUGAGUCAAGUCACUCGGGUGGAAACUAUGAUUGAUGAAAGAAACAAUCUCUUCUACACAACUUCUUGGCAAAUCUAAAACACUAAAUCGAGGUGUUUUUACAAGUGGAUGUGUCUAAAGUCAGGCAUGUGAUCAUCAAAGGCAAUUGAAAUUUCUCAAAGGAACCCA